ACGAACACUUUAUUCGAGCUAGCAACGCGUUGUGAACGGUUGUGUUGAGAAUACUUGUGCGGUUUUAUAAAUAAGGCGGCUGCCAGCAAACCUGAGUUAAAGAAAUAAAUCAAUCACAGCGUAGUACAUUAUGCGCAACUGCGUUCAAACCAACUAGGGAAGAGAGCAAAACGCGUGAAAACGGUGGAACAGAAGAAAGGAAUAAUUUAAAUUUUUCAUGGUUUGAGUUAUUUCACUCAGUGUACAUUAGUUUUUGAAGCAUAAGCGU
rnacentral:lncRNA from 1 species